rnacentral:rRNA from 1 species
CAUUUUUUUGUGGUUAUGUACAAAGUAAGGUCUGCCCACUGAUUAUAAAUUUGAAGGGCCGCAGUAUUUUAACUGUGCAAAGGUAGCAUAAUCAUUUGCCCCCUAAUUAGGGGAUAGUAUGAAUGGCUUAACAAUUUGAUAUUUUAUUAAUUAAUAUUUAGAAUUUAAAUUUUAGGUGAGAAUUUUUAAUUAAUUCUUGGGGACGAUAAGACCCUAUAGAUCUUUAUUUUAUUAUUUUUUUUUGUUUUAUCUUAGAAGUUUAUUAGGAUAGGUAUAUUAUUUUACUGGGGUAGUAAAAGAAUUAUAGUAUUUUCUUUAAAGUUUUUUUUUUAAUUUAUUAGCCUAUAAUCUUAAUUUAAUAAGUUACCUUAGGGAUAACAGCGUAAUAUAUUUGGGGAGUUCAUAUCGAUAAAUUAUUUUGCGACCUCGAUGUUGAAUUAAAAUUAUUUUAUGGGGCAGUUUUUAUCUUUUUUUAGUCUGUUCGACUAAUAUUAUUUUACAUGAUUUGA